AUUGAACGCUGGCGGCAUGCCUUACACAUGCAAGUCGAACGGUAACGGGCCUUCGGGUGCCGACGAGUGGCGAACGGGUGAGUAAUACAUCGGAACGUGCCCGAUCGUGGGGGAUAACGAGGCGAAAGCUUUGCUAAUACCGCAUACGAUCUACGGAUGAAAGCAGGGGACCGCAAGGCCUUGCGCGGACGGAGCGGCCGAUGGCAGAUUAGGUAGUUGGUGGGAUAAAAGCUUACCAAGCCGACGAUCUGUAGCUGGUCUGAGAGGAUGAUCGGCCACACUGGGACUGAGACACGGCCCAGACUCCUACGGGAGGCAGCAGUGGGGAAUUUUGGACAAUGGGCGCAAGCCUGAUCCAGCCAUGCCGCGUGCAGGAUGAAGGCCUUCGGGUUGUAAACUGCUUUUGUACGGAACGAAAAGCCUUCUUUUAAUACAGGAGGGUCAUGACGGUACCGUAAGAAUAAGCACCGGCUAACUACGUG
rnacentral:rRNA from 1 species